UUCCGGUUGAUCCUGGCGGAGGUUACUGCUAUCGAGGUUCGACUAAGCCACGCGAGUCGAAUGUAGCAAUACAUGGCGUACUGCUCAGUAACACGUGGACAACCUACCCUUAGGUCGGGGAUAAACCCGGGAAACUGGGUAUAAUACCCGAUAGUCCUCGGAUGCUGGAAUGCACCGAGGUCUAAAGCUCCGGCGCCUAAGGAUGGGUCCGCGGCCUAUCAGGUAGUAGUGGGUGUAGCGUACCUACUAGCCUACGACGGGUACGGGUUGUGAGAGCAAGAGCCCGGAGAUGGAUUCUGAGACACGAAUCCAGGCCCUACGGGGUGCAGCAGGCGCGAAAACUUUACAAUGCCGGCAACGGCGAUAAGGGGACCUCGAGUGCCAGGUUACAAAUCUGGCUGUCGUGAUGCCUAAAAAGCAUUGCAUAGCAAGGGCCGGGCAAGACCGGUGCCAGCCGCCGCGGUAACACCGGCGGCUCGAGUGGUAACCGUUAUUAUUGGGUCUAAAGGGUCUGUAGCCGGCCGGAUAAGUCUCUUGGGAAAUCCAGCAGCUCAACUGUUGGGCUUUCAGGAGAUACUGUCUGGCUCGAGGCCGGGAGAGGUGAGAGGUACUUCAGGGGUAGGGGUGGAAUCUUGUAAUUCGAAGGACCACCA
rnacentral:rRNA from 1 species